rnacentral:misc_RNA from 1 species
AACGCACAUUGCGCCCCUCGGUAUUCCGUGGGGCAUGCCUGUUCGAGCGUCAUUUCAAGACUCAAGCUACCCUGCUUGGUGUUGGGCGUCUGUCCCCGCCUCCGGCGUGGGACUCGCCCCAAAGACAUUGGCAGCCCAGGCCGUCCGACCCGCCCGCAGCACAUUGCGUUGGGGGGUUCGAACGUCGGCCUCGGCGUCCAGCAAAAGAGGCUCUCUCACCGUCUUGACCUCGGAUCAGGUAGGGAUACCCGCUGAACUUAA